UACGUAGGGUGCAAGCAUUAUCCGGAGUGACUGGGCGUAAAGAGUUGCGUAGGUGGUUAUGUAAGCGAAUAGUGAAAUGUGGCGGCUCAACCGUACACACUAUUAUUCGAACUGCAUAACUCGAGAAUGGUAGAGGUAACUGGAAUUUCUUGUGUAGGAGUGAAAUCCGUAGAUAUAAGAAGGAACACCAAUGGCGUAGGCAGGUUACUGGACCAUUUCUGACACUGAGGCACGAAAGCGUGGGGAGCGAACCGG
rnacentral:rRNA from 1 species